rnacentral:tRNA from 1 species
GGGGGAGUAAUUCAAUUGGUAGAAUGUUAGUCUCCAAAACUAUAUGUUAGGGGUUCAAGUCCUCUCUUCCCCG